rnacentral:tRNA from 3 species
GGGGUUGUAGCUCAGUCGGUUAGAGUGCCGGCCUGUCACGCCGGAGGUCGCGGGUUCGAGCCCCGUCAACCCCGCCA